UGUGCACACACACAGCACGUUUGGUGGCAGAGCACCGGAGCAGGUUGCCUGGAGAGGUUGUGGAGUCUCCUUCUCUGGAGAUAUUCAACACCCACCUGGAUGCCGUCCUGCGCAAUGUGCUACAUUUCUGCCUCUUGAUACUCGUUGCUCAUGGAAAAAGCCACGUGUGAGGGUCUGAGCUUGUGAAUCUGACGGCAGGACUGAAGCCCAAUCUUGUGUAGAGCCAGUCAGGUACAGACUUCGUCAUGGUGAUCACGUCUCUGCAGCCUCGAGGCCAGAUUGACGAAACACACACCCCAAAACCUCUGCUGGGCUGGAGCUGCUGCAGAGGAGAAGCACAACCACUCAAGGGUCUUUACCUGAGGAAGCUGCCGAACUCUGUGCUUGGCAAACUCUGUUAGCAAGGUCUCCGUGGUGUGCCUUGGAGUGCCAGCAUGAGAAGUGUAAGACCAGAGGAUUUAGCCCCGCUCACUUAGCCACACAGGUAAUCUUAGGGACUGCGCCGGAUGCCAGGAGAGCAGGCGUGAGUGCUAAAACUUGCUCAUCCUGGCCUUUUUCUUUUUUUCUGAAAUUAUAUGAAAAUAUUUCUAUUAGCAUUAGGGUUUGAUUUAGUACACCAGAGGGAACCUGUCUAUCAGGCAUAAAUUUCUGACGUUGUCUUCUCUGGGAAUCACUUGCAGAAGUCUCCAUUUGAGAACUUGGGCACGAGCACUGCUGUUCAAUAGCCAUUUCCAGUGCCCAUUUUCAUUAAAUUAUUUUGGAAUAGGGACGAUCUAAUCUCCUCGUGAAGCUUGCGCUUUAACUCUCUUGGAAGCUAGUUAGACUAUAACAGAGCAAAUUGAUGUUUUACUCCUUGUAUCUAAUUUCACAUCACAUCUAUGUUUUAGGCACUUAAAUUUUACUGCAAAGGUAUCUUGAGUACCGCACAGUCCAGUGUGAGUUAUAGUAAUGAUGGCUGAGGAAUUCAAUAGUGAGUCAUGUAUUUUCUAGGCAGAGAGAGAGACGUAUUUUCUUCCACUGUUUUGCUUGAAAAUAGGUAUAAUAUUAAUGUAUUAAAACCCCGUUUUCACGCGUUCCCAGUAAGUAAUUUUAUUCUAGCCUGGCUAGCUGGCCUACUGACAUGCAUUUUCACCACUGCUAAAAAUAAUGAGGAAUCCAAGUGACACACAUUUGUGGGUAGGAGUGCCAUCAGAUCCCUUGACCUAAUUGAGCAUGCCUAUACACCUUAGAGUGUUUUGCAUAACCAACUUAGACAGCAGGAACAUUUCCAACCAGAUUGAUUGACAUAUUUUAUUUCUAACUUAAGCUUAAUCAUGACCAAGAAUGAUUCAUUUAUACCUUUCAAACUUUAGGCAUUGACACGGGAGACAACCAAGCUGUAGACUCCAGUGUAAGCAAUCAUGUAAAGGAAAAAAUAUAUAUUAAUAUAGUUUAUUAACCUACUUAGCUGCCGAGAUUGAUGUAAUAAAAUGGAUUAAUUAGCUGGUAGGAGAGUUACUUUAUUUUAUAUAUAUAAAAAAAAAAAGUCAGAUAUUUUGUGGGAAAGGUUUUGUCCUAAAUCACUCCUCCACUACACAUCUCUGUGAAGCCCUAUACAGAACUCAGGGAAGGGACUGUAGUGUACAUUUGAUUUUCCUAAACCAGGUGGACAAGAGCUCAUCUCCCAGCAAUAGCCAAGCACCCCUCAGACUGAGAGUGUUCUUGGCUCUUGAAGCACAAACUAUCUUCAAAUAAAUAUCAGCGUUCUCCAUGUGCUGUGCCUUAACCAGGAACAAAGCCUAAUAGAAUGGGCUGCAAUAAAAGUGCUAUUUCCAGCAUGUGUGUAUGUGGCUGCUGUAUGCUGAAAAUGUCCUUUAGCACUUUUUAACCAUAUUCUCUAGUGUGUCAGCAAAGAGACUCCAUCAGAGUAUUUAACAUUGCUGGGAGCAAAGGAAUAAAGUGGAGUCACUGUUGAUUAUUACUCAUUAGCCACAAGGACAUCCACUUAACAUGUGAAUAAAUGAAUGACACCAUGUCCUAAUGGAAAUGGCCUCAGUGUACCUUUAAGCAAAAUGUUGUUUAAUAUCUUCCAUUUGCUGAAUAGUAAAGAGGCCUGUUGGACAUGCAUAGUUAGCAAGCAGCCAUUGUUGCUUUGUUCCAAUUUCAGCAUUUAAUAAAAAAAGAUGUUGUCUCGACUGUGGCAAAGGCUGGUCACAGAAAGCUGGGAGCAGCACAGCCUCUUCCUCCUCCUGCAAAUUCCAAAUUUCACUGGCCUUGUAAAGGGUUAAUAGCCAUGAAGCAAACGCGUCCUUAGAAGGUACAUGUUCUUCAUUAUUCCGCUUUACAUUCAAACAUAUAAAACAAAGAGCAUCUGAUAUCUUUAUUGGUUCUCUUAGAUAAAAUGCAAGCAAGCUAUAAGCCUUAAUUUUCUUAUUACCAUUUGUUAACAAGGAAGAUAACACUCUCAAAAGUACUUGAUUAGGACUCCCUUUGAUUUGUAUCUCGUUAUGAUUUCCAGGGCAUAUAUUUUUAUAUUACUACUUGAGUACGCUGAUAGUUCUGAUCAAAGUGAUAAAAAGAGGUAUUUUAGGAGUGUAACUAUUAACCGUGCAGGUAAACCACACAAUCUGCACAGCAUCUCGAGGGCUGCCGUGCUCAAGCACGCUUUGGGCAACAGCUCAGGGAGGAGAUACACUCUCCUAUCUCCAAAGCCGGCGGGCUGAGCUGGAGGAGCCCUUUUGCCCUCCAGCCCUCGCAGCAGUAACUUCUAGCGUUUGCAACUUUUUUCUUUGCGUUUUUACAGCGCAGCUACUGAGAAGAGUCGCGGGUAUAACGUUAAAGCUGUUUAUGAUAUCGAAUGCCUAAACACUUGCGGUCAGGAUCCGUACCAGAGCACGUCUUUUCAGCUUUAACUAUCCAAGGAAAAUAAAAGCUGAUGUGAAGGAUUUGGGGGGGUUAUUUUAAUGCACAUUCUGAUUCCUGGUGGUGAAAACCGUACACGUGUAGUGGGGGGGAUCCUUUCCUUGCUGCUCUAAUUUCAUCUGCGUGAGAGCUAGCUCUGCUGGAGGCACCUCAUGGCCAGGUCUCGGCUCACAAGGCUUUUUCCUGGCUUCUCCGUGGCCUGGGCCGGGCCAGGAGCGGGCAGCAAGCCCCGGCACAAGGGGGCCGACAGCUCCAAGCCCCCCUGCUCCUCCUGCCUCCUCCUCGCCGCGCUUCCUCCAGUGCAGGAAGGAGCGAGCGGGAGAUGAUUACAUCAAUCAGUGUCAGGGCUGGGAGCUGUGAUUUAUGAAUAUGCAUAAUGAGCUCUCACCUUUGAGAAGGACUAGCUAGGGAGAUAAUUGAUUAGACAGGAAAAGAGCAGCCAAGAGAGAGGGAGGGAGCAGGAGGCCUCUCGGAGCUGUGGCGGGCAGGCCUGGCUGCAGCUCCAGCGAGGCUGUCAAGCUGUGCGAGUGAGUUCUAAAAAAAAAAAAAAAUAGGAGCAGGAUUUUUAAUGUUUUGUUGAAACACGCAUAACAAAACGUUUCCUCACAAAAUUAAUGGGAAUUUUCUCCCCGUUAGGGAAGCUGGGCAGGCACGAAGGCUGCUCUCUCCCUCGGGGGAGCCGAGUUUGCACUUCCAGAAGCCGACGGGGGUGCCUUGCCCAGCACCGCCGCCCGAGCAUCCCGCGAGCUGGGGCAGUGGGGCCGGGGAGCCGAGCAGCUGUGCCGCCGAGGCAGAGCAGCCUUUAGUGGAGGUGGAAAGCUGGGGAUGCGAUUGUUUUCCCAUCGCGGUCUCAUUAUUUUCUUCCAUCCCCUUUUAAGCGUCUGUCUGGCCACUGUGUGAAAGUUUCUAUGGAAAACCCACCAGGAUGUCCAGAGGAAGGGGAUGUGGAAAUUCGCCACUAGCUUUCUCUCCCCCCAACCCCUCCCAUUUUACAUGCCAUUAAUCUUUUUUUUUUUUUCUCCUCUCAGCCAGAAUUGGCUAAGGAAAAAGCAGGGCUACAAAGUGCAGAGAGACUGGGUAAAAUUUACAUGAGAAACAAUCCGUUUGCUAACCACCCACCCACAGAGUUUCCCCUCGUUUCGGGAGCCUGUUGGAGUGCAAGAAGGGGAACAGUUCCUGGCAGAAAGACAGCGCUGCGAGGAGGCAAACGCUGUUUCCAGGGCUGGCCGGGGCCAGGCAGAACAUAUGUGAAAAGGAAGGGGACGGGGGGGGAAAGCAGGGGCUGCAAAUCCGUGAGGGGGUCCCCCGCUGUACCGCAUGGCCCGCCGGGGAGCACGGUAACCGCCAGCUCUCGAAACGCAUAUACAAGGCGAGCAGACACACAGACACACGGCUGUGGAGUGUGAACGUAUAUAUAUAUAUAAAUAUCACUGCUUACAAACGCCUAGGUUGAAAAUGUAGUUUAUCGGCCUAGCGCAACCCGAUCCUAUAAAUAAUACAUUCCUAUCACUAUGGCCUCAAAAUGUCAAUACUGCGCAGCCCCGCGCAUUUGCAUAUCUUGUACUGUCUAAACUUGAAGCAUGUCAGCUAUGUGCUUCUGUUUGUACUUUAACUUCAUUUUAACUCCUGCUUCCUCGCUCACGGCUCCCUCCCCCUCCGCCGACUGCGGCAGCAAGCCGAGAAAAGCGCCAGGUAUUUAUUUAUUUAACUGCCACCCCCGCCGUUACCCCGGUCCCAGGGCCGGACGGAGGGGAGGGCUGGGGGCACGCACCCCAAAGCCCCCCCGGACCCAGCUGUGGAGUCGGACGGGGCAACAAAACCCCCAGCCGGGGGGCUCGGGGGAAAGGGGCAAACGCUGGCAGCCGCCCCCGCCAGGGGGAGCUGCGGCUCCAGGCUGGAGCCACGGGGAGCGGCCGGGCUCGGCUCGGCUCGGCCCGGCUCGGCUCGGCCCGGCUCGGCUCGGCCCGGCUCGGCUCGGCCCGGCUCGGCUCGGCUCGGCCCGGCCCGGCUCGGCUCGGCUCGACUCGGCUCAGCCCGGCUCGGUUCGGCCCGGGGGGUGCCCGCCCCGCAGCAGCCUCGGGCAAAAGCACCGCAGAGGCGGCAAGCGAGAGUGUAGGCAAAGUGGCAACGGUUUAUUUAUUAGCCAAAAAUAGAUACUUUCUUGUACAAUUUGGUUCACACGUAUGUACAGGUUUUGUUUUUUUUAACCGUAUGUACAAAAACAAACGAACAAAAAAAAUGGAAACACCUAGUUCUCACCGGACUUCCAAAAAACCUCACAAACUCAGCUAAUCCCGAUGAUAGUACAGAAGCGGGGUUGGGGUUUUUUUGCGUGUUUUUUUUUUUCCCCUUUUAGUUUUAAUAUACGGACAUGCUUACAAGUCGUAGCUAUACAGAGAUUUCUUUUUACAAUCAUUACAACCACAA